rnacentral:rRNA from 1 species
AACGAACGCUGGCGGCAUGCUUAACACAUGCAAGUCGAACGGAAAGGUCCUGCUUUUGUGGGGUGGUCGGGGUGCGAACGGGUGAGUUACACGUGAGUUACCUACCCUUGACUGUGGGAGAACUUCAGGCCAGUGGAUCUAUUACCAGCUAAGAUCUACUGCUGUUGGGUGGGCGUUGGUAAGUUUCGGUGGUUGGUGAUGUACUAGCGGCUUAUCAGGUUGUUGGAGGGGUAGUGGCUGAGCAAGGCCUUGACCGGUAGCCGUGCUGGGAGGGUGACAGGCCCCAUUGGGACUGAGAUAAGGCACAGACUCCAACGGGAGGCAGCAGUGGGGAAUAUAGCACAAUGGGCGGAAGCAUGAUGCAGCAACGCAGCGUGCGGGAUGACGGCAUUCGGGUUGUAAACCGCUUUCGCCUGUGACGAAGCGUGAGUGGCGGUAAUGGGUAAAGAAGCACCGGCUAACUACGUG